GGCGCGCUGCCGCGUGGUGCUGGCGAGUGCGCUCGCGCCGCUCGGCGCGGCGUUCCGUGCCGAAGGCAUCGCGCUUCGCGUGCGCAGCGCGCUA
rnacentral:tRNA from 1 species